UUAAAAGACUCGUAGUUGAACUUCUAAGGAUUGAAGUCGCCUUAUGGCUUGUAUUGAUAUCCUUAUCCGCUUUGGUUUAGCAAUACGACACUUUGUUGGGCGAUUGUGUAACCAGGCAAUUUACUUUGAAAAAAUUAGAGUGUUUCAAGCAGGCGAUUUGCUGGAAUACAUUAGCAUGGAAUAAUAGAACACGACCUCUUAGGCAUUUUAUUGGUAUAUGACUGGAGGUAAUGAUUAACGGGGACAGUUGGGGGCAUUAAGUAUUGCAUUGUCAGAGGUGAAAUUCCAUUGAUUAGUGCAAGACUAACUUAUGCGAAAGCAUUUGCCAAGGAUGUUUUCAUUAAUCAAGAACGAAAGUUAGGGGAUCAAAAGACGAUUANAUACCGUCCUAGUCUUAACCAUAAAAACUAUACCGACUAGGGAUUAGUGAGGAAUAUCGUGCCUCAUUAGCACCUUAUGAAAAAAUCAAAGUCUUUGGGU
rnacentral:rRNA from 1 species